rnacentral:rRNA from 1 species
UUCGAUUAUAGCUCAGAUUGAACGUUGGCGGGAUGCUUUACACAUGCAAGUCGAACGGCAGCACGGACUUCGGUCUGGUGGCGAGUGGCGAACGGGUGAGUAAUGUAUCGGAACGUGCCUAGUAGCGGGGGAUAACUACGCGAAAGCGUAGCUAAUGCCACAUACGCCCUUCGGGGGAAAGCGGGGGACCUUCGGGCCUCGCACUAUUAGAGCGGCCGAUAUCGGAUUAGCUAGUUGGUGGGGUAACAGCUCCGCAAGGCGACGAUCCGUAGCUGGUUUGAGAGGACGACCAGCCACACUGGGACUGAGACCUGGCCCGAACUCCUACGGGAGGCAGCAGUGGGGAAUUUUGGACAAUGGGGGAAACCUGAUCAGCCAUCCCGCGUGUGCGAUGAAGGCCUUCGGGUUGUAAAGCACUUUUGGCAGGAGAGGAAAGAAACGGCACGGGAUAAUACCCCGUGCAGCUGACAGUACCUGCAGAAUAAGCACCGGCUAACUACGUGCCAGCAGCCGCGGUAAUACGUAGGGUGCAAGCGUUAAUCGGAAUUACUGGGCGUAAAGCGUGCGCAGGCGGUUCGGAAAGAAAGAUGUGAAAUCCCAGAGCUUAACGUUGGAACUGCAUUUUAACUACCGAAGGCAAGUGUGUCAGAGGAGGUGGAAUUCCGCGUGUAGCAGUGAAAUGCGUAGAUAUGCCGGAGGAACACCGAUGGCGAAGGCAGCCUCCUGGGAUAACACUGACGCUCAUGCACGAAAAGCGUGGGGGAGCAAACAGGAUUAGAUACCCUGGUAGUCCACGCCUAAACGAUGUCAACUAGCUGUUGGGGCCUUCGGGCCUUGGUAGCGCAGCUAACGCGUGAAGUUGACCGCCUGGGAGUACGGUCGCAAGAUUAAAACUCAAAGGAAUUGACGGGGACCCGCACAAGCGGUGGAUGAUGUGGAUUAAUUCGAUGCAACGCGAAAAACCUUACCUACCCUUGACAUCACAGAAUCCCGAAGAGAUUUGGGAGUGCUCGCAAGAGAACCGGAACACAGGUGCUGCAUGGCUGUCGUCAGCUCGUGUCGUGAGGUGUUGGGUUGAUCCGCAACAGGCGCAACCCUUGUCAUUAGUUGCUGAAGGCAUCUAAUGAGACUGCCGGUGACAAACCGGAGGAAGGUGGGGAUGACGUCAAGUCCUCAUGGCCCUUAUGGGUAGGGCUUCACACGUCAUACAAUGGUCGGGACAGAGGGUCGCCCGCCCGCGAGAGGCCAAUCCCAGAAGCCGAUCGUAGUCCGGAUCGCAGUCUGCAGCUCGACUGCGUGAAGUCGGAAUCGCUAGUAAUCGCGGAUCAGCAUGUCGCGGUGAAUACGUUCGGGUCUUGUACACACCGCCCGUCACACCAUGGGAGUGGGUUUUACAGAAGUAGUUAGCCUAACCGUAAGGAGGGGGAGCGAUUACCACGGUAGGAUUCAUGACUGGGGUGAAGUCGUAACAAGGUAA